rnacentral:rRNA from 1 species
GAUGAACGCUGGCGGCGUGCCUAAUACAUGCAAGUCGAGCGAACAGAUAAGGAGCUUGCUCCUUUGACGUUAGCGGCGGACGGGUGAGUAACACGUGGGUAACCUACCUAUAAGACUGGAAUAACUCCGGGGAACCGGGGCUAAUGCAGGAUAACAUGUUGAACCGCAUGGUUCUACAGUGAAAGGCGGCUUUGCUGUCACUUAUAGAUGGACCCGCGCCGUAUUAGCUAGUUGGUGAGGUAACGGCUCACCAAGGCAACGAUACGUAGCCGACCUGAGAGGGUGAUCGGCCACACUGGAACUGAGACACGGUCCAGACUCCUACGGGAGGCAGCAGUAGGGAAUCUUCCGCAAUGGGCGAAAGCCUGACGGAGCAACGCCGCGUGAGUGAUGAAGGUCUUCGGAUCGUAAAACUCUGUUAUUAGGGAAGAACAAAUGCGUAAGUAACUGUGCGCGUCUUGACGGUACCUAAUCAGAAAGCCACGGCUAACUACGU